UCAAACUUGGUCAUUUAGAGGAAGUAAAAGUCGUAACAAGGUUUCCGUAGGUGAACCUGCGGAAGGAUCAUUACGUGGGGUGGAACGCACCCGUGCCUCCCCCCCCCUCCCACCCCCCACGGUGGGUGGGCGAGGUGGGGGGCGGGGGGGACGGCAUUUGAGGUAGCGGACCCAACACACACACCAAUCCCCCCCCCCUCCUCUGAGUUCCAGUCCCUUCACAGGCCUGUGACUGCCUCGCCCUCCAGCGACCGCUCACAGGCCGUAUGAACAAAACUCAAAACUCAAACGCAAGACAAGAGAGUGGCGAGCCCCAUGGGCGAGCGAUCUCGAAUGAAGAAAAGAAGUAACAAAACUUUCAACAACGGAUCUCUUGGUUCCCGCAUCGAUGAAGAACGCAGC
rnacentral:misc_RNA from 1 species